CAGCAGUGGGGAAUUUUGGACAAUGGGCGCAAGCCUGAUCCAGCCAUGCCGCGUGCAGGAUGAAGGCCUUCGGGUUGUAAACUGCUUUUGUACGGAACGAAAAAGUGCCUUCUAAUAAAGGGCGCUCAUGACGGUACCGUAAGAAUAAGCACCGGCUAACUACGUGCCAGCAGC
rnacentral:rRNA from 1 species